ensembl:lncRNA
AUGCUAUUCACCGAGACUGCUCACUUCGUGGUGAAUUUUCUUCUGUCCCGGCGGCCCCGGGCCACGGCCCCGCACCGCCUGGACAAGGAGUUGUGUUUCUGGGGCAGCCGGGGCCCGGUCUUGCCGGCGCCCGCCGCCCGCCGCAGCCUGGGCGACUACUGGCUGAGCCCGCAGCGCCGCCACCCUCCGGGUGCCGCCUGGCGCUGGCCCGCACGCAACCUGUUACUGCUGCCCGGGGCCACCGGCCUGGCCGACGUGCCCUCAGCGCGCUGGCCAAGCUGCUACGGCGCGCGCCCGAGACUCACGUGGAAGCACCGAUGGCAGAAUAUUAACUACUAUUUUCUGGGCAAAAGGAAGAGACAUCUAGUUCCCUUGCACCCGUGAGAGCCGGUGAGGGGCGGGGCCACAGGGGGCGAGGUCGGUGGGCGGGGCCUCGUGGAGGGGCGGGUCUGGGCGGGGCCUAGCUAGAGGCGUGGGGAGGGGCGAGGCCCGAGCACGAGGUCGGCCAGCCUCAGCCUCGGCCUGCGAGGCUCCAGGGCACUGUGGGGGCCCCGAGUGCAGGGCGUGGUCUUUGCAGGGUUAUUUUUCCCUGCCCUUCUUGGGCCGACACAAACAUACGCGCGGUGGCUCAAGCCUGUAAUCCCAGCACUUUGGGAGGCCGAGACGGGCGGAUCACGAGGUCAGGAGAUCGAGACCAUCCUGGCUAACACGGUGAAACCCCAUCUCUACUAAAAAAUACAAAAAACUAGCCGGGCGAGGUGGCGGGCGCCUGUAGUCCCAGCUACUGGGGAGGCUGAGGCAGGAGAAUGGCGUAAACCCGGGAGGCAGAGCUUGCAGUGAGCCGAGAUCCGGCCACUGCACUCCAGCCUGGGCGACAGAGCGAGACUCCGUCUCAAAAAAAAAAAAAAAAAAAAAGAUUGACAAAUUUGACUAUGUUGAAAUUUAUGUUCGUCAGAAGAUGCCCCAAAAAAGUAGAGGAGCCCCAAACAGGACUCCCCAAACGUAAUACCAACUCUGUGCCCGGUGCAAGGAGUUGGGGACCAGGAAAGUGGUGCACUUGGGUGGGCCCCAGCUGGGUCAGCCCCAGGGCAAAGGUCACUCCAGCCCUGGGCCUAGAGGCAAGGAAGGGAGGCUCCGUCAGUUUGAAGGGCCCUGUCGUGGCAAUCAUCCUGUGUGUCUGUGUUCACAUUUCGGUGCAUCUCUGAAAGUCUGUACCGCCUCUGAGCGUGGUUCUGUUUCUGUGUGUUCUGCCUCUGAUAUCUGUGUAUAUUUAGUCCACAAAUAUUUAUCAAGGGCUUGGCCAGGCGUGGUGGCUCACGCCUGUAAUCCCAGCACUUUGGGAGGCUGACGGGGGCAGAUUGCUUGAGGCCAGAAGUUCUAGACCAGCCUGGGCAACAUGGCGAAACCCCGUCUCUAUUAAAAGUACGAAAAAUUAGCCAGGCAUGGUGGCAUGCACCUGUAGUCCCAGCUACUCCCAGCUGAGGUGGGAGGAUCACUUGAGCCCAGGAGGCAGAGGUUGCAGUGAGCCAAGAGCGCACCACUGCACUCCAGCCUGGGCAAUAGAGCAGACCUUGUCUCAAAAAAAAAAAAACAAAAACAAGACAAGUAUUUAUCAAGGGCCUAUUUUAGUGGUUUGUGACAGGUUUAUACACUGAGUUAAUCACUGGGUUUACACUGGUGAAGCAAACAGUUGAGGUCCCUGCCCUCAUGGAACAUACAUUCUGGUGGGGAGACAGGCCAUAAACUGAAGAGAGAAACAGUGUGUUAUGUUUGAGAAGAACAGGGCUGGGUCAGGUGCUACUUGAUAUGGGAUGGACAGGGACUUGGUCUUUUUUUUUUUUUGAGACGGAGUCUCGCUCUGUCGCCCAGGCUGGAGUGCAGUGGCACGAUCUCAGCUCACUGCAAGCUCCGCCUCCUGGGUUCAUGCCAAUCUCCUGCCUCAGCCUCCAGAGUAGCUGGGACUACAGGCGCCCGCCACCACGCCCGGCUAUUUUUUUGUAUUUUUAGUAGAGAUGGGGUUUCACCGUGUUAGCCAGGAUGGUUUCAAUCUCCUGACCUCAUGAUCCGCCUGCCUCAGCUUCCCAAAGUGCUGGGAUUACAGGCAUGAGCCACCGCACCCGGCUGGGACUUAGUGUUGUUCACAGGUCUAGAACAGUGCCUAACACAUAGCUGGGGCACAGCAAAUGCUGAAAGAAUGCAUGCGUUGUCGGGAGGUCACUUCUGAG